GCAGAGAAUAGAAAGAACAUACAGAUUCGACCUGUAUUCAGGAAACAAGACCAAAAAGCACACUGUAACUCUAUUUUCUAAUGUUUGGCUUUGGGAUUUUGUGGUUCUAUUUUCCAGGAGGAGAGAGUGCGGCUGUGCUUCACAAUAAGGCCUCAGGUGGCAAGGGAUCAAGAAUGGCCGGAAUAAGCCAAGGCAACUUCAACACACCCUCAGCUGUUCUCUUAUAGAUCUCAGAAAUGAGGAGCAACAGCAAAGGCUACAGAAAGCCCCUGGAGGCGGAAAUGACCACGUCACAAGCGCAUGUGCCUUGGAACUCAGGAGUGCAGCCUGGCUGGAAGGAGUCCUGACAAAGAGAGGAUAUACCGACCUAAUGCUUCUCUCUCCCUGAAUUUAAUUAAAUAUCCUUUGGAACAUGAAAUGUAAAACAUUAUUCAAGGAGGAACUUUAUCUUUCAGGGCAGCAAGAAUCCAGAAGAAGAAGUUGAGGUUAUCAGAAACACUACACAUGAUUCAACCUAAAUUCUGCAAUGCAUGAGCCUGUGUACAUCGAUUAAAAGAGAGAAUCUUAAGCAGGCUCCACGCCCAGCGCAGAGCCUGACACGGGACUCGAGCUCACAAUCCUAAGAUCAUGACCUGAGCCAAAAUCCAGAGUCAGACACUCAACCGACUGAGUCACCCAGGUGCCCUGAUGUGCUCUUUCUUUUAGAAUGAACUUCCUGAAGACUAGUAUUCAGUUU